rnacentral:rRNA from 1 species
AUAUGUAGGGUGCGAGCGUUAAUCGGAAUUACUGGGCGUAAAGCGUGCGCAGGCGGUUUUGUAAGACAGUGGUGAAAUCCCCGGGCUCAACCUGGGAACUGCCCUUGUGACUGCAAGGCUGGAGUGCGGCAGAGGGGGAUGGGAUUCGGCGUGUAGCAGUGAAAUGCGUAGAUAUGCGGAGGAACACCGAUGGCGAAGGCAAUCCCCUGGGCCUGCACUGACGCUCAUGCACGAAAGCGUGGGGAGCAAACAGGAUUAGAUACCCUGGUAGUCCACGCCCUGAACGAUGUCAACUGGUUGUUGGGAAUUUAUUUUCUCAGUAACGAAGCUAACGCGUGAAGUUGACCGCCUGGGGAGUACGGCCGCAAGGUUAAAACUUAAAGGAAUGGGCGGGG